rnacentral:lncRNA from 1 species
ACAGUGGCGCUACAGUGCCUGGAGCUGCGCUGGUUUUUCCUCGGAGUGGAGCCUGGUAACCGCGACUUCCCCGCCAUGUUCUGUGUGUUGCUGGCUGGAGAAGGGUGGUUGACAAACUCCGACCCAGCACAGUGUUUCUGUGGGUCAAAACUAGAAAACUAUGUCCAGGCUCGGCCGAGGCGGAAGGAUCCGUUCAGGCCAGGAGUUAAAGAGCUGCCUGGGCAACAUGGCGCGACCCCAUCUCUGUAGUCCCACCUCAGCUUCCCAGAUACUUGAACCCCAAGGUUCAAGGCUGCAAUGAGCUAUGAUCCCAUCACAGCACUCCAUCCUGCGAGACGGAGGACCUGCGGAGCAGCCAGGCUUCAUGAGUUAAAUGCAGAUCUGAACCAUACCCAGUUGGGAUUGGGGUACACACUCUACUCCUCUGAAAACUAGCUAGGGGUUCGAACUUGGUGAGAGGGAGAGUGGGACAGAGCCAGACCAGACAAGGACUGAUCACCUGGAAAAACCUGCCAUCAAAGACCUUGACGAGUGCUGGGGGCGGUGGCUCAUGCCUGUAAUCCCAACACUUUGGGAGGCUGAGACAGGUGGAUCACUUGAGGCCAGGAGUUCGAGUCCCGCCUGGGCAACAUGGCAAAACCCUGUCUCUACUAAAAAUACAAAAAUUAGCUAGGUAUGCUAUGCUCCUGUAAUCCCAGCUACUCGGGAGGUUGAGGCAGGAGAAUCGUUUGAACUGGGGAGGUAGAGGUUGCAGUGAGCUGAGAUUGUGUCACUGCCCUCCAGCCUGGGUGACAGAGUGAGACUCCGUCUCAAAAAAAAAAAAAAAACCCACCUGAAGAAGGUUUCCAGUUCUGCCAGCAGUCCCCCAUCCAACCCCCAGAAGCAGACAUUCCUUUGCUGUGGGCCAUGGACAGGCAGAAGGAAGCGCCUCCUCAUGGCAGAGGCCUACCCAGGAGAAACCCAAGGGAAGGCACUGCCUGGCCAGCCCCUCUGCCAAAGCCAUUUUCUUUUUUCCUUUUUUUUUUUUUUUUUUUUUGAGACACAGUUUCACUCUGUCUCCCAGACUGGAGUGCAGUGGCAUGAUCUUGGCUCACUUCAACCUUCACCCCCUCCCCCGCCCCCUGCCGGGUUCAAGUGAUUCCCAUGUUUCAGCUUCCUGAGUAGCUGAGAUUGCAGGCAUGCGCCACCACACCUGUCUAAUUUUUGUAGAGACGGGGUUUCACCAUGUUGGCCAGGCUGGUCUGGAACUCCUGACUUGAAGUAAUCUGCCCACCUCGGCUUCCCAAAGUGCUGGGAUUACAGGCGUGAGCCACUGCGCCUGGCCCCUUCAGGUGGGUAUUGAGGCUUCACUACAAUACUAGUUCCCCGUUGCUGCCGCAAUAAAUUACCACACACUUAGUGGCUUAAAACAGCAUAGAGGUAUUCCUUUACAUUUCUGAAGGCCAGAAUUCUAAAGUCAGUCCCACUGAGUCAAGGUGGGAGCAGGGUCAGUGCCUUUCCAGGCUCUGCGGGAGAAUCCGUUUCCUGGCCCUGGAGGCGGCCUGUACUCCUCAGCUUGUGCUGCCCUUCUCGAAUGACUCGCGUUUCCUGCUUUCAUCACUACACCUCCCACCGCUCUCCAUCACCUGCUCUGCUCUUAUAAGGAUCCAGAGAAAUGGAAUAAUCUUAUUGCUGAUCUAUGUAAACAAGUUGAAGAAUUGUCUGAAAGAAAAUACAGUGUGUCUAAACUGGAAAAGUCCUGUAAUAGUUUGUUCAUGAGCAUUUACACAGUGGAGUUACUGUUCAUCAUGGGGGUACUGUGGACAAGCCCAGGGCUGCUGUAGAGACAAGAGUUUUUCCAUGUAGGCCCGGCUGGCCUCGAACUCCUGACCUCAAGUGAUCCACCUGCCUCCCAAAGUGGGAUUACAGAUACAUGAAGUUAUGAAUUUAAGAUGUGAAGAUUUACAGCUUGAUAAACCAGCUUCAGGAGACAUGAUCUUAUGAAUUCAACACAUGAAGAUUUACAACUUGAUAAACCAGCUUCAGGAGAUCAGAACUUCUUAUAAUACAACUGACGUUACUCAGCCUAGAACAAAUACAACAGGGAUUGUGCUGCAUUCUGACUUGGAUUCUGCCAUCGAACACAGAAUGCCCUGAUCCUUAGAUGCAGAGGCAGCUCUUCAGCCUAUGGGGGCUGCUGUAAAAUAUUACAGGCAUACUUUGGAGAUGUUACGGGUUUGGUUCCACAUCACUGCAAUAAAACUCCAGCGGGAGGAAGAAGAGGCCUUUGCCAGCAGUCAGAGCAGCCAAGGGGCCCAAUCCCUCACAUUCUCCAAGUUUGAAGGAAAGAAAACCAACGAGAAGACCCGCAAGAUUACCACAGUGAAGAAAUCUUCAGUACGUCUUCCAGGGUCGGAUCAAAGAAGGUGCCUCCAGAAUGAGUUGAGAAGAUAAAUGGAUCAGAUUGAAAAGUACAUCAUGACUCAUCUCUAUAAAUAUGUGUUCUGUCCAGAAACUACUGAUGAUGAGAUGAAAGAUCUUGCCAUUCAAAAGAGGAUCAGAGUGGAAGCUGCUCUGUGGUGUCAGAAAGACAAGGAAUGUGGUGACCUCACCUAUCCAUCUCCCUCAAGGCAGCUUUUGAGCCCUUCACUGGGUUACACCUCAGAUGCUGUGUGUCCCUGUUAAUGAAGACAUCCCAGAAGUGUCUGAUACGGUGUUGAAGGCAAUCACAGGGAUUGUGCUGCAUUCUGACUUAGAUUCUGCCAUCAAAAACAGAAUGCCCUGAUCCUUAGAGGCAGAGGCAGCUCUUCAGCCUAUGGGCUUAAGCUCUUGGACUCACUGAGGCAGUAAAAGAACCAUAUCCUGUGUUUGAAUCAAACCCCGAGUUCCUGUAUGUUUAGAAGGUUUGCCAGACAGGAUUCCCUUUUGAAGCCCUCCUGGUUUGGAAUUCCAUGACUUAAAAGGAUCGUCCGUGGGAGUAAUAACAUCAAGUCUGUUGGUAAAAACUUCGCAGUUUCUAAAAAGACCACGAAGCCCUGAGAGUAAUGAAAAGGUUCCUGAAAUUGAGGUCACUGUGGAAGAAGGAAACGUGUCAUGUACCAGCUAUCCAUCCAAUGACUGCCCAUCAGUUCCAUAUUCACCCUUCACUGCCUGAUCUGCAAACAUAGAGGAAGUGACCUCAUAAUGACUCAAGCUACCACUUACUGUUGAUUGUGAUGAAAUGCCAGUGGAGGCACAUGCCUUGGGAGCUAAGUGGCUGCUGCACUUGACCACUAUGAAGACUGGUGUGGGAAGAAUCCUUUUGGAUGCACUUCAGCAGGGACCCCUGAUCCCUGGGUCACAGGCCUGUACUGGGCCACACAACAGGAGGAGAAUCUAAUGCCUGAUGAACUGUCAUUGUCUCCCAUCACCCCCAGAUGGGACCAUCUAGUUGCAGGAAAAGAAGGUCAAGACUCCCACUCAUUCUACAUUAUGUCUUCCUGUGUUGCCCAGGCUGGAGCACAGUGGUUUGAUCUUGGCUCACUGCAGUCUCAACCUCUCAGGCUCAAGCUAUCCUUCUGCCUCAGACUCUGGGGUAGCUGGGACAACAGCCUCAGCCAAGAUGUCUCACCCUACUCUCUAUGAUGCAACAAGAAGCCCCUGGGGAAUGUUUCAGUCCCAGUCUGUACUAUUGUCAUGUGCUCAUCACAGUCUGGUGGAAUUUAAAUGACCUUUUAUCAAGAUGGAUAAACGCAAGUUUCCCAGUGCUGGAAUACAGAAAAUGGAUGGACAACUGGAUCUACCAUGAAAGACUUCAGAGUCCAGGAAGAGAGACUGACUGGGCAACAUGUUAUUCAGUUACAAAAAGACUUGGACUAUGACUCAAAAAUGAUCAAAUAAUAGUUCAUGCAUCAAAUGCAAUAGGAAGUACUUCUGGAGGGUGAGAGAAGCAUCCAGUUAAGGUGACAUUGAAGCUGGGUCCUGAAAGAUGAGGAAGAAUUGUAUGAGAGUGGGCAGAGAAGGGGGAGGUGGAGGGAUGGGGAAUGGGCUGGGAUGGAGUGAGCUGCUCAAGUAGGGAGACCAGCACUGUAAAGACCUGGACGAUAAAGACGGCACAUUUUAUUCAGGGAAUGGUGAAUUAAGUGUGGCAGGAAUGCUUUGGAGAGAUAGUAAUUUGCUUGUAUGGAAUUUUGCCCAAGAGGCCUCAUUACAGUUUCUAAUCUUUUGAUGUUAUCAUCUAUCACUGUCCUUGCCAAAUAGUUUGGAAUAGGUAUAAUGAUCACAAUAACAUCAAGCAUAAUAUUUCAUUAAUUCUCACAAAAUCACAGGUAGGUGCCACAGUUAUCCCCAUUUUGUGAAUGAAGUGAUGAAGACUUAGGAAUAAUGAGUGAUUUGCCCAAGCUCACCUGGAUAUUAAGACUGAGUCAAAUGUGGGGUCUGGUCUGACUUUAAUGUUUGCUUUGUUCAUGAGCACCACGUAUUGCCUCUCCUAUGCAGUUAAGCAGGUAGACAGGUGAAAGAAAAGCCCAUGUUAGUCUCUACUCACACACUUCCGACUGAAUGUGUGUGUGGAAUUUCUACACCAAGUUCUCCAAUGCUCUGGAUAUUAACUGGGUAUCCUACAAUUUUAUUCUGACACUUCCUGGAGUUGGCGUAGACCCCACAGGUUACGGGCUCAGUCCCACAAGACCACCCUUGCUUCACAUUGCAAUGGCAAGUCCUAGGUUGUCACCUGCACUUUUGACCAACCUGUUACAAAUCAGGGGUUCCCAUGACCCCCUCUUGGGGUUUAAUCAUUUGCUAGAGCAGCUUACAGAACUCAGAAAAACAGUUUGUUUCCUUUUUUUCUGAGAGACAGGGUCUCAUUUUGUUGUCCAGGCUGGUGUGCAGUGGUGCAGUCAUAGCUCACUGCAGCCUUGACUGCCUGGGCUCAAGUGGUCCUCCCACCUCAGCCUCCCUAGUAGCUGAGACUACAUGCUUGCACCACCAUUUCUGGCUAAUUUAUUUUUUGUAGAUAUGGCGUCUUGUUAUGUUGCACAGGUUGGCCACAAAUUCCUGGGCCCAAGCAAUCCUCCCACCGCAGCCUCUUUGAAGUGCUGGGAUUACAGAUGUGAGCCACCACAUUUCCUAUUACUGGUUCCUUGUAAAGGAUACAUCGCAGAAACAGCUAAUGAAAGAGAUGUAUGUGCCAGAUGCAGUGGCUCACGCUGUAAUCCCAACACUUUGGGAGGCCGAGGUAGGAGGAUUGCUUAAACUUAGGAGUUUGAGACCAGCCUGGGCAACACGGUGAAACCCUGUCUCUGUAAAAAAUUUUUAAAAAGCUGGGCACGGUGGCUCAAGCCUGUAAUCCCAGCACUCUGGGAGGCCAAGGUGGGUGAAUCACGAGGUCAGGAGUUGAAGACCAGUCUGACAAACAUGGUGAAACCCCGUCUCAACUAAAAAUGCAAAAGUUAGCCAGGUGUGGUGGCACGCACGUACAAUCCCAGCUACUUAGGAGGCUGAGGCAGGAGAAUCGCUUGAACCUGGGAGGUGGAGGUUGCAGUGAGCUGAGAUCACACCACUGCACUUUAGCCUGGGCAACAGAGCUAGACUCUUGUCUCAGUAAAUAAAUUAACCGAGUGCGGUGGUGUGCAGUUACUAAUUCCAGUUACUACAGAACUAGACUCCAUCUCAAUAAAUUAAAUAAAUAAAUAAAUAAAUAAAUGAAUAAAUAACUGAGUGUGGUGGCAUGCACCUGUAGUUCCAGUUACUAGGGAAGCUGAGGUGGGAGGAUGUUUUGAUCUGGGGACUGGGGAGGCUUAGGUUGCAGUGAGGUAAGAUUGUGCCACUGCACUCUAGCCUGGAUAAAAGAGCCAGACACUUUCUCAAAAAAAAAAAAAAAAGAAAAAGAAAAAAAAAAGAUGCCCAGGGCAAGGUAAGUGGGGAGGGGCACAGAGCUCCCAUGCACUUUGUUGAACAUGCUACCCUCCCAGCAUCUCCUAUGUUCAGCAACCCAGAAGCUCUGCAAUCCCUGUUGUUCAGGGUGUUUAUGGAGGCUUUAUUAUGCAAGCACGAUUGAUAAAAUCCUUGGCCAUUGGUGAUUAAGUCAAUCUCCAGCCCGUCUUGCCUCCUGGAGUUAAGCGGGUGAGGCUGAAAGUUCCAAGCCUCUAAUCAUGUCGUUGCUUUUUCUGGCAAUCGGCCCUUCUCCUAAAGAAAUCUAGGAGCUUGCAGCCACUCAUCAUCUCAACAAUAUCCCCAAAUGCAUUCUUGUCAUGCUGGAGAUCCCAAAGUUCUUAAAGUCUCUUGUGUUAGAAACCUGGGACAAAGACCAAAUAUUAAAACAAAAGAUGCUCCUAUCACCUCUAACACUGAGGUCUUUAUAAGAGCUUUAGAAGCUCUGUGCCAGGAACCAGGGACAGAGACCAAAUAUAUUUUUCUGUUCUUUUUUUGAGACAAAAUCUCCCCAUGUCAUCCAGGGUGGAGUGCAGUGUUGUGAUCAUAGCUCACUAUAGCUUUGACCUCCUGAGCUCAAGUGAUCCUCCCACCUGAGCCUCUUAAGUAGCUGGGACUACACAUGCAUGUUACCCAUGCCCAGCUCAUUUUUGUAGAGAUGAAAUUUAAUUAUGUCGCCCAGGCUGAUCUCAAACUCCUGGGCUAAAGCGAUCUCACCUCAGCCUCUCAAGUAGCUGGGAGUACAGGGACACACCACCAUGUCUGGCUAAUAUUUAUUUUUAUUUUUUCAUAGAGGUGAGGUCUCACUAUGUUGUCCCGGCUGGUUUCAAACUCUGGGCCUCAAGUGUUCCUCCUGCUUUGACCUCCCAAAGUGUUGGGAUUAUGGGUGGAAGCCACCACGCCCAGCAAUUACAAGGAUUUUUUUUUGGUUUUUUGUUUUUUUGUUUUUUGAGACGGAGUUUCGAUCUUGUUGCCCAGGCUGGAGUGCAGUGGCGCGAUCUCGGCUCACCAAAACCUCCACCUCCUGGCUUCAAGCGAUUCUCCUGCCUCAGCCUCCAGAGUAGCUGGGAAUACAGGCAUGCGCCACUACACCCGGCUAAUAUUUGUAUUUUUAGUAGAGACGAGGUCUCUCCCUGUUGGUCAGGCUGGUCUCAAACUCUUGACCUUAGGUGAAUCACAAUGAUCUUUAUAAAAGAAAGAGGGUAGGAGAGUCAGAACUGGAGCAGGAGAUGUGAUGGAAGCCGAGGUCAGAGAGGGAGAUUUGAAGAUGCUUCACUUCUGACUUUGAAAAUGGAGUAAGGGGCCAUGAUCCAAGGAAUGGGGGUGGCUUCUAGAAGCUGGAAAAGCCAAGAGAAAAUGUUAGAGCCUAGAGCCUUCAAAAGGAAUGCAGCCCUGCUGACACCUUGACUUUAGCUUUAAUAGACCUAGUUUGGGCUUCUGGCCCCCAGAACUGUAAAGAUGGUUGAUUUGUGGUGUUUUUAGCCACUAAAUGUAGGAAAGUUUGUUGCAGCCACAAGAAGAAAUGAACAUAAAGCCAGGCAUGGUGGCUCAUGCUGGUAAUCCCAGCACUUUAGGAAUCCAGGCAGGAGGAUCACUUGAGGCCAGGAGUUCAAGACUAGCUUGGGCAACAUAGUGAGACCCUGUCUCUACAAAAAAUUUAAAAAAUGGCUCAGUGCAGUGGCUUGUGCCUGUAAUUUCAACACUUUGGGAGGCUGAGGCAGGCAGAUCACCUGAGGUCAGGAGUUCAAGAACAGCCUGGCCAACAUGGCAAAACCCCAUAUCUAAUGAAAAUACAAAAGUUAGCCAGGUAUGGUGGCACGCGCCUGUAAUCCCAGCUACUAGGAAGGCUGAGGCAGGAGACACCCUUGAAACUGGGAAGUGGAGGUUGCAGUGAGUCAGGAUCACACCAUUGCACUCCAGCCUGGGCAAGAAGAGCGAAAUUCCAUCUUAAGAUAAAAUGAAAUAAAAUAAUAAAUCAGCCAGGCAUGAUGACAUGCACCUGUAGUCUCAGCUACUAGGGAGGCUGAGGUGGGAGGAUUGCUUGAGCCCAGGAAUUGGAGGUUGCAGUGAGCUGUGAUUGCACCACUGCACUCCAGCCUUGGUGGCAGAGUGAGAUCUUGUCUCCAAAAAAAAAAAAAAAGUAUGGUAGGCAUGGGGACAGAUGGCAAUGUUAAUAGAAUAGUCAGGGGUGGCCUCCUUAGUAAAAAUUGAGCAAAGACUUGAAGGAGGGGAAGGAGUUGGCCAAGGUGCUGAGGGAAGAGCAUUGUAGGUAGAAAAAACAGAAUAAGGUGUCUGAGGUGUGUCUGAGGCUCUGGAAGGAGGCCAGUGGAGCAGGAGAGAGGGAGAGAAUUAGGGCAGUAGGCCAGAGAUUUGCUGGGCAGGGAUCAGUACAUACCGUGUAAGCCCUGGGAGGUUAUUGCUGGGCUAGAUAGGAAAUUCAGGAGGGUUCUGAGCAGAGAGGCCACGUGAUAUGUCUGCCGAUUUAAAAGCAUUCUCUGGCUGCUGAGUUGAGAAAGACUGUGGGAAGAUUUGGGUAGAAGCAUGGGGGCCAAGCUGUGGCAACAUCCAGGUGGGAGAUGAUAGUGGUCUUGACCAGGGUCAUGGUGGUGUUGAGAGAUGGUCAGAGGAGAGAAGUAGGGGAGGAGGCCAGGGAGUUGCUGGGUGGGGAUCUUCAGUACGUGUUGAAGACAGUCAACAGGAUUUCCUGUCAGACUGGAUGUGGAAUGUGAGAGAAGGCAGGGGUCAGGGUUGAGUUAGAUUCUUACCGAAUUAUUAAGUAAUUUUAAAAAACACUACUGUCUUUCCCAGUCCUAUUAAGUAUGGGAUACUAGAUUAAAGAAAUAUCUUCAGGCUCAGUGCAGUGGCUCAUGCCUGUAGUCCCAGCUGUUUGGGAGGCAGAGAUGGGAGUAUCUUUUAAGGGCAGUAGUUCGAGACCAGCCUGGGCAACAUAGCAAGACCUCCUCUCAAUAAAUAUAUUUUUCAAAAUUUAGUAAAACGAAAUGUAGCUAGGCAUGCUGAUGUGUACUUGUAGUCCCAGCUACUCAGGAGGCUGAGGUGGGCAGAUCUUUUGAGGUCAGGUGUUUGAGGCCAGCUUGGGCAACAUAGCAAGACCCCUCACUCUGCAAAAAAAAUUUAAAAAAUAGCCAGGUAUGGUGGCACUCAACUGUGGUACCAGCCAGUGGGGAGCUGAGGCAGGAAGAUGGCUUAAAUUCAGAAGGUCGAGGCUUCAGUGAGCUAUAAGUGCACAAGUGCUCUCCAGCCUGGGCGACAGAGCAGGACCGUGUCACAAUACAAAUUAAGUAAUGAAAUCAUAAGUUAGAGCCUUUAGGCUUUGUAGCCCUUGCAACCCCGGAGCCGUGCAGUGGGAUUUGCAUUGCUGGGAAUGAAGAGACCCCUGCCCAGUAUUGCUGCCUGACUAAUCAGUGUUUUAAAAAAUAUAUGAAUCUGUUGGGAGGCCGAGGCGGGCGGAUCACGAGGUCAGGAGAUCUAGACCAUCCUGGCUAACACGGUGAAACCCUAUCUCUACUAAAAAUACAAAAAAAUCAACCGGGCGUGGCAGUGGGCACCUGUAGUCCCAGCUGCUGGGGAGGCUGAGGCAGGAGAAUGGUAUGAACCUGGGAGAUGGAGCUUGCAGUGAGCCGAGAUUGUGCCACUGCACUCCAGCCUGGGGAACAGAGCGAGACUCUGUCUCAAAAAAUAUAUAUAUAUAUAAAUAAAUAUAUAUGUAAAUAUAUAUAAUGUAUAAAAAUAUAUGUAAAUAUAUUAAUAUAUAAAUAUACAUGCAAAUAUAUAUUAAUAUGUAUGUAAACAUUAAUGUAUAUGUAAAUAUAUAUUAAUAUAUGUAAUAUAUAUAAUUAUAUAUAUUAAUCAGUGUGGGCACAAUGGCUUACGCCUGUAAUCCCAGCACUUUGGGUGACCGAGGUGAUCACCUGAGGUCAGGUGAUCACCUGAGGUCAGGAUUUCGAGACCAGCCUGGCCAACAUGGCUAAACCACAUCUCUACUAAAAAAACAUAAAAAUUAGCCAGCCAUGUUGGUGGGCACCUGUAAUGCCAGCUACUUGGGAAGCUGAGCCAGGAGAAUUGCUUGAACCCAGGUGGCGGAGGUUGCAGUGAGUCAAGAUCGUGCCACUUCACUCCAGCGUGCGUAAGUCAGACUUUGUUUCCCCCCCAAAAAAAAGUACUACUUACGUCAACUUGUAAUGGUUUUAUUAUUCAUGUGUAAUGAAUGUAUAUUUUAAAAAUUUGUCCUGUACUAUAUCAACAUGAAAUGGUUUUAUUAUUAAUAUGUAAUGAAUAAUAUUUUAAAAUUUGUCUUAUUUUCUAAUUUUAAUAUAAUUAUUUAUAUAAAGAAAAAGGCUUAAGAGAUCUUCAAUAGAGUUAAAAAAUGUAAAGGGAUGCUAGACCCAAAAAGAUUGGGAACAUGUAGUUUAGACAUAUUCAGAGUAAGCCACGUACAACUUGCUACUUUACCUAUUUUCUUUCCUUUUUUUGUUUUGUUUUGUUUUAGAAGAUGGGGUCUCCUCUGCAACCCAGGCUGGAGUACAGUGGUGCAAUCACAGCUCACUGUAGCCUUGAACUCCUAGGCUAAGGCUCCUCCUGCCUCAGCCUCCUGAGUAGCUGGGACUGUAGUUAUAUAUGAUGACACCUGGCUAUUCUUUAAAUUGUUUUGUAGACAUGGGGUCUCACUUUGUUGGCCAGGCUGGUGUCAAACUCCUGGCCUCAAGUGACCCUUCUACCCCUGCCUCCCAUCCUAGAGGUAUGAGCCACCACAACAAGCACUUGUUCGAUUUUCUAAAAAACAAAUUUCCAAAUUAAGGCUGUGGGAUGAUGGCCAGAAGAUAAAGUAGAAAAACAGAAUAAUAGGCCGGGCGCGGUGGCUCACGCCUGUAAUCCCAGCACUUUGGGAGGCCGAGGUGGGUGGAUCGCGAGGUCAGAGUUCGAGACCAGCCUGGCCAACAUGUUGAAACCCCGUCUCGACUAAAGAUACAAAAAAAUUUAGCCAGGCGUGGUGGCACGUGCCUGUAAUCCCAGCUACUCGGGAGGCUGAGGCAGGAGAAUCGCUAGAACCUGGGAGGUGGAGGUUGCAGUGAGCUGAGAUCGUGCCAUUGCACUCCAGCCUGGGUGACAGGGCAAGACUCUAUCUCUAAAAAAGAAAAACAGAAGAAUAAAUUCUAAUGACUUACACAUAUUCUUUUGACAGCAAGAAGAACUUUUAGUAAAUACAUUCCUUACAAACAAACAGAAGGCAAAUAAACACUGUUGUACAGGAACUUCAACACACACUGUACAAUAUUCCCACUUUGCUGAUGUCAGUUAUGGAAAUUCUUCAUGGUUUACUUGACUAUCGCUAUCAGUAUUUUGCAUCUCUCAUCAUUUUUGUCAACUUCCUCAUCUGCUAACUUCUCUCCAAGGUAUGUCAUAUUGUGACAUACUGCUGCUGCACGAACAUGGCCAGUGUCAUCCUAUUAAACAUGUAGAAUCCUUCCCUAAUUUGUUUUUUUACCCUCUGUCUCUUUGUUUUGCAUUUUUCUUACCCUUAUUGUCAGAAACUCCAGAAAGUCAAUCGUAGUGAUUUAUCACCAAUUGCUCCAUUAAUUUAUACUUUGCUUACAUGGAAUUUUGCCCAACAGACAUCAUUACAAUUUCUAACCUUUUUUUUUUUUUUUUUUUUUUUUCCUGAGACAGGGUCUUGCUCUGUUGUCCAGGCUGGAGUGCGGUAGUGCUAUCACAGCUGACUGCAUCCUCAACCUCUCAGGCUCAAGCAGUCCUCCCACCUCAGCCUCCCAGGUGGCUGAGACUGUACGUGCUUGCCACAAUGCCCAACUAAUAAUUUGGACUUUUCCUAUACAUGGGUUCCAAAGGGCUGACUGCGAAACGAAGUGACCUCACAAUGACUCAAGCUACCACUUAGUGUUGAUUGUGAUGAAAUGCCAGCUGUGGCAUAUGCCUUGGGAGCUAAGUGGCUGCUGCACUUGACCACUAUGAAGACUGGUGUGGAAGGGUCCUUCUGGAUGUACUUGGGCAGGGUCCCCAACGCCAGAGCCAUGGAACUGUAAGGAGCCACACAGCCGGAGGUGAAUGGUGUUGAAUGAGGGAAGCUUCAUCUGUGUUUACAGCCACUCCCCAUUGCUCACAUUCCUGCCUGAGCUCUGCCUUCUCUCAGAUCAGCAGCAGCAUUAGAUUCUCAUAGGAGCAUGCACCCCAUUGUGAACCAUGCAUGUGAGGGAUCUACGUUGCGCUGUCCCUAUGAGAAUCUAAUGCCUGAUGCUCUGUCACUUUCUCCAAUAUUAUCUUCAAGUGAGCCACUCCUGGCCCAAUUCCUGUCUCCCGUUGGCCUAUAGAGGCCAAGCCUCUGCCUCAUGAUGGCCUCUGCAGGUCAAGCUCCUCCUCCUGGUUCCGUCUACAGGCCCAACACUUCCCUCAAAUAAACUCUUCUGCCCAGCUCCUGUCCAGCUCACGGCAGCCACUGUCGGCAUGAAAAUUCCUCAAUUCAAGCUCUCUAGGCCCACCUUCUGCCUCCCACUGGCCUGGACACGCCCAGCUCCAACCUGACAAUGGUCUCUACAGGCCCAGCUCAUCGGGCUCUGAGGGACCUCUCCAGGCCAAGCUCUUACCUCACGGAGGCUUCUCCAGGUCGUUUCUCCCUGUCUUCAGGCAGUGGUGACAGGUCAGCUCCUCCUCCACAGUGGCCUCGUUUGGGCAGGUCCUGCCUCUUGCAGCCUCUCAAAGCCCAGCUCCUGCCUCUGAGUGGCUUCUGCGCACCCAAAUGUCCUCCAGUCAGCCUGUCCUGGCUGAGCUCCUGCGACCUGGCUGAGCUCCUGCCUCCUGUCGGCCUCUAUAAACCCAGCCUCUGCUGUAUGGUGGCUUCUUCAGGCCCAGCUCUUCCUCCUGGCGGUGUAUACAGGUCCAACUCCUGCUUCCCAAUGGACUCUUUAGGCCAGGCUCAUGCCUUACGGCAGCCUUUCCUGGCCCAGCUUUUGCCUGUUGGCAUACCCUCCAGGCCCACAAUGUACUCAGAUCAGCCACUCCAUUCCCAGCUCUUCUUCCUGGCUGUGUCUACAGGCCCAACUGCUGCCUCACAACACCCUCUUUUGGCCCAGCUCCUGCCCAGCACCUGGUGGCCUCUAUAUGCCCCAGACUUCUUAAAGUCAACUUUGCUAGGCCCACCUUUGGCCUCCCAGCGGCUUUGACAGGACCAGCUCUUGCCUCAUGGCAGCUUCCCAACGCCAGGUUUCUGCCUGCAUUGUGGCAUCCUUGAUGGACCCAACUCUUGCUUUAUGCCGGCCUUCCCACACCAAGUUUCUGCCUGCCUCAUGGCAGGAUCCGAUAGGCCCAGCUCCUGCCUCUAAUGGCCUGGUUAGGCUCAUCUCAUCCCUCAAGGUGGCCACCCCAGAUGAAGCUCCUGCCUUUUGGCAGCCUUUAGAGGCCCAGCUCAUGCAUCUCAUUGCCUCUUGAAGCCCAGCUCAUUCCUCAAAACGGCCUAUCCACGCCCAGCUUUUCCCUUUGGUGGCUUCUCCAGGCCCAGAAAUUCCUCAGUUCGGCUUCGCAAGGUGAAGUUGCUGCCUCCCUGUGCCUUCUCCAGGCCCAGUUCUUCCUCCCAGCUGGGUCUACAGUCCCAUCUCCUGACUCAAAACAACCUAUUUUGGCUCGGCUCCUGCCCAGCACCUGGCGGCCUUUGUAGGCCUAAAGCUUCCUCAAGUCAAGCGUUCCAGGCCCAGAUCAUGCUGCCCAGGGGCCUUCACAGGCCCAGCUACUGCCUGACGAUGGCUUCCCCAGGCCCAGGUCUUGCCUUCCCCCAGCCUCCCGAGGCCCAGCCCUUGCCUCACAGUUGCUUUCCCAGUCCACGUUACAGCCUGUUACCCGACGGCCUUGACAGACCAAACUCUUCCUUCACACUGGACAGUUUAGGACAAGCUCAUACGUCUUCCAGCCUCUCCAGGUCAAGCUCCUGCCUCACACUGGCCUCUAUAGGCCCAGGUGCUGAAUCGCAAUGGUCUGUUUAGGUCCAUCUCAUGCCUUUCUCAGACUCUCCAAGCGACGAUCUGGCCUGACACUUGCUUCUGUGGGCCAUGUGAUCACUCACACUGGCCUCUUUAGGAUCAGGGGAUGCCUCUCCACAGGCCGAGAUCCUGCCUGUUGUAGGCCCCUUCAGGAUGCGCCGCUGCCUGACAGUGGACCCUCCAGGCCUAGAUGUUACGUGAUCAUGGCCUCUGCAGGUCAAGAAUUUAAAUUUUCGCAGCCUCUAUAGGCCAGGCUACUGCCUCCUGAUAAUGGCUUCUGCAGGCCCAAAUCGUCCUGAAAUAAGCCUCGCCAGGAACAGCACGUGUGUUGGAUGCCCGAACAACCAUAGCUUCUCCCGCACAGUGGCCCAUGGGGGCCGGGCUCUUGCCUCAGCCUGGCCACCUCAGGCCCAGUUCUUGCCUGUUGGCGGCCGCUCCAGGCCCGGCUCCUGCCCCUCGGCCUCCUCUCCAGGCCCAGAACUGGUUCCCGUCGGCCUCUCCAGGCCCAGCUCUCCCGGCCACCUCCACGGGCCCAGCUCCUGCCUCACGACAACCACGUUCGGCCCAGCUCCUGCCCAGCUCCUGGCAGCCGUUGUAGGCCCCAGGCUUCCCUGCGUUCAGGCCUCCCGGACCCACCUUCGGCUUUCCGGCGGCCCUGAGAGACCCGGCUCCUGCCUGCCAGCGGCCUCUCCCGGCCCAGCUGCGGCCUCACGUCGGCCUCCCCAGGCCACGUUUCCGCCUGCCUCACGGCAGCCCCGGCAGGCCCGGCUCCCGCCUGCCGGGGGCCUCUUGAGGAGGCUCAUCUCGUGCCCGGCCGCGGCCUCCCCAGGCCAGGCUCCUGCCUGCCGGCAGGCGCCACAAGCCCAGCUCCUGCGUCCCGAAGGCUUCUCUAGGCCCGGCUCGUGCCUCGCUGCGGCCUCUUGAGGCCCAGCUUUUCCCUUGUGGUGGCCUCUCCAGGCCCAGAACUUCCUCAAGUCGGCCUCCCCCGGUCCAGUGGCUGCCUCCCGGCCUCCUCUCCGGGCCCAGCUCUUUGCUCGCGUCUGCGCCCGUGGGCCCAGCUCCCGUCUCCAAACAGCCUCCUUCGACUCGGCUCCUGCCCAGCUCCCGGCGGCCUUCGUAGGCCCGAAGCCUCCUCCAGUCCAGCUCUCCAGGGCCGCGUCUUGCCUCGCCUCGCCUCCCCUCACCUUGCCUCACCUCGCAGCAGCCUUUCCAGGCCCAGCUCCCGCCUCCCGGCGGCCUUCCCCUGCCACGCUCGUGCCGGCCUCCCGGCAGCCUCCACCAGCCCGGCUCCUGCCUCACGCUGGCCCCUCUGGGCCCAGCUCAUGCCUCGCGGUGGCCUCUCCGGGCCCAGCUCCCACCCAGCCUGACGGCGCCUCCCGGCCCCAAGCUGCCUUCCUCGAUGUGGCCCAAAGUGGCCCAAAGCGUCCCAAAGUAGGCCUCGCCAGGCCCACCUCCUGCCCGGCGUAGGCCCUGAGGGGCGCGGCCCCUGCCCCAUACUGGCCUCUUUUGGGCCCUCUCUUACACCAGCCCCUGUCUCAGGAUUGUCUCUUCACGCCCAUCUUCUGCCUCAUAGUGGUCACUCAAGGCCUCGCUUUUGCCUGAUGAUUGCGUUUUCUGGUUUUGCUCUUGCCUUGUAUUCCCUUCUUCGGGAUACAGCUUUUACGUCUUCCAUGGUGAACCUCAUCAAGGAGACUAAAUCUUCCCUGGUCUGUCAUUUUUUUCACUUCACACCAGAGUGCCUUGGGAAAACCCCAUCUCUUCUUUUAACCUUGAGAGUGGAUUUCUGACGAAUUGAUAAUAAAUUUUUUCUCUGUGGUUUCAGUGAUUUCUGUUUUAUUUAAUGUCCCAUGGUGUUUUUUUGUCUGCUGGGGGUGAGGGUGGGAAUGAAUUUUUGGCCCUUUGUCUUUGCCCCGGAGAUGGUAGCUUCUCACUUCAUUUCUUCUGUUUUUAUAUUAUUUACUGUUUUCUUUUCUUUUUUUCUUUUUGUUUUUCCUUAGGUUCUUACUCUGUCACCCAGGCUGGAGUGUAGUCAUGUCAUUAUGGCUUACUGCAUCCUUGGCCUUUUGGCCUCAAGUGAUCCUCCCAACUCAGUAACUGAGACUAUAGGCACAUGCCAAUAUGCCUGGCUGAUUUCUGUUUUUUUUAUGAGGUUUUUUCUCACUAGGUUGCCCAGUCUGGUCCCAAACUUUUGGACACAAGCAUUCCUUUUGCCUGGGCCUCCCAAAGUGCAGAGAUUACAAGCAUGAGCCAUCAUGCCCUGCCUGCAAUUUUUCUGUCA